rnacentral:lncRNA from 1 species
GCUCCCGCGACUCCGCUGCGGGUCUGCACACCCGAGGACUCGGUUUGAAACGCCCGCUUAUUUAUUUUCUUGUCGCCUCGCUACAAGAUUCUAUCCUUGUUUGGGCAUGAGUGGGGGGCGGCAGUCUCGUGGGACCGGCGGCAUUCGUCGUUCCUCCUUACGGGGAUAAUUCGAGAAGUGCGGUCCGGGGGUACUUAACCGAAACUAGCAAUCCCAGGCGGUACAAGGCCCUCCAUCGUAGGCAAAGCACUACCUGAAUGUAGAUUUGGGCCAUACGUUGGAAAAUAAGACAUGAGAGUAUGCUCCGAUCAACUUUUACUGUUCACUGGACAACUAUUUUGGGAAUUUGCAGACCUAUAAAGCCCAUCUAUAAAUCUCAAGCAUGUCCACUUUCAGAGAAGAGAAAUGCUGACAACCAUUUAGUCUCUGAGGACAACACUUUUAAAGUGUAACAAUGUGGCAUCCAGAGCUUAUCCAGAUGAGCGGAGAGCAAAUGAAUUUCCUUCUGCUCCCCUGUUGAAGAGGAGAGAAAAAUUCUUCAAGCUUUAUACAGGACUCCAUCAUAGGACUGGAGAGAGAUUGGAUGUCAGAGUGAUUGAUGUGCUCCUACUGGAAGAAGGCAAACAUCCAUAUGUGAACUGCCUGUGGGGUUUCCAAGGAAAGGAACGGCAGGCAGCCUCUAUGAGCUUAAAGAAGAUAACUGGGACUUUAGUCCUAUAACCUCAAGGAACAGUAUUCUGUGAACCAUCUGAGAAGCUUGGAAGAGGACCCCAAACUCCAAAUAAGAAGCUCAGUGUGUCUGACACCUUGACUGCAGGCUUGGGAGGUCCUGAGCAGAAGAUCCAGUUCAACAGUGCCUGGACUCCUGAUCCACAAAAACUGAUAACAAAUAUUUAUUGUUUUAAGAUGCUAAGUUUGUAGUCAUUUUUUAUACAGCAACAGAAAACUAAACACACACAUAAACAGUUAUAAGUGCUCACUGUAUAUGAGGCUUUUCAUUAAUAAUCUAUAUUUUAUAAUAGAAUUAGAAUAUAGAUCUGUGAAGCUGAAGACACUCAAUCCUUGCUAGAUUUAAAUCAGGAAAAUCAGCUGAGAAUCAUUCCUUGAUAGAACCUGGAAAACAAGACCCUAUGAGAGACCCUGGGAAUUACAUUAAAUUCACUGUGGUUCCCAGUGUCACUGAAGAGGUUUUCCUUUCAUAGUCAGGUAGUCACCAUACUGUUAAGCAUUUGAACACAUGGGCAACUUCCAGAAUAGUUAUGACAUUGAUAUACCAAUCUCCAAAAUUCCUAGAAUACCAUGUUUUCAUGGUUGACCUUCAAAUCAGUCAGUUCUUUGUAACAUUGAGCCAUAAAGAUAGGGCAAAUACUUAAUGUUUUACAUAUAUUCAGAGAUUGACCCUCAAAAUACAGCCCAGAGAAACUCAAAAGAAUUAACUCUAUUUCUUCAAAUUGUGUGACGCCACCAAGGCCAGAUGACUUCAGCAUUGGGAAGGCAAUAUCCAGCUGUCAUCUUCUUGAUCCUCAUAUGCUACUACUAGCAUCUAGCAUUUACUGAGCAGAUAGUUUUAUUGUCCAGUUUUUAAAGAUAAGAAAAUUGAGGUAUUAGGAAAGUUAAGUUGGUUGCCUAGGGAAACACGAAGAUAUAGCCCAGAUUCACUCCCAGGCAGGCAGAUGCCAGUGUCUGCUCUCUUUACCACCGAAAUAUCCUGCUACAUGUACAAUUUCAAUAAAUAUCUGGACUUACUGGAACAAAACAAA